UACGGGGGGGGCAAGCGUUGUUCGGAAUUACUGGGCGUAAAGGGUUCGUAGGUGGCCCGCUAAGUCACACGUGAAAUCCCUCAGCUUAACUGGGGAACUGCGUGUGAGACUGGCAGGCUCGAGUGCAGGAGAGGAACGCGGAAUUCCAGGUGUAGCGGUGAAAUGCGUAGAUAUCUGGAGGAACACCGGUGGCGAAGGCGGCGUUCUGGACUGUAUCUGACACUGAGGAACGAAAGCCAGGGGAGCAAACGGG
rnacentral:rRNA from 2 species